rnacentral:rRNA from 1 species
GACGUAGGGCGCAAGCGUUGUCCGGAUUUAUUGGGCGUAAAGAGCUCGUAGGCGGCCUGUCGCGUCGACCGUGAAAACCCGCAGCUCAACUGCGGGCUUGCGGUCGAUACGGGCAGGCUGGAGUUCGGUAGGGGAGACUGGAAUUCCUGGUGUAGCGGUGAAAUGCGCAGAUAUCAAGAGGAACACCAGUGGCGAAGGCGAGUCCCUGGACGACACCUGACACUGAGGCACGAAAGCUAGGGGAGCAAACAGG